CGGAUGUUUCGCCCCCAAGACGUUUCCGCCCUGGUCGUUUCGCACCUGGUCGUUUCGCCCCCAUAUUAGGUGCGAAACGACCAGGGACUAGGUGUUGAGUAGUUUAAUUGGUGACCAUUAUAUAAUCAUCAUAGAAAGUACCCUGAAUCAAUAAUGUAAGUAUAUUAGUGGAACACUAGGUGUUGAGUAGUUAAAUUGGUGACCAUUAUAUUCAAUAAUGUAUUUCUCUUGAGGAAUACAAAGCCGCUGUGACGUCAGGAUGCGAGCUUGACUUCGUCUGCAGUCCUUGUUCUAAAAAAGAACAGACACAUAGAUCAGAGGCCGAUAUUGAUGUCGAUGACUUUGCUGCAAAUUGGGAAAU